rnacentral:ncRNA from 2 species
CCUAAGCAAGGUGAUGGGGUUCCACCUAUUUAACCGCCGCUUGGGCUGAUGACUCCUACAGAAAC